UCCCUGGUGGUCUAGUGGAUAGGAUUCGGCACUUUCACUGCCAUGACCUGGGUUCCAUCCCUGGUCUGGGAA
rnacentral:tRNA from 1 species